GUGUUUGGAGCUGGAGACGGCCUGGGUGCUGGCGAAGCGGAGGCCGGAGUUAAUACACGAGGAACUCAUGCAAAGGAGGGGACUUUCGGAAAUCCAAACUUAGAGUGCCUUGUAUUUAGAAUCCGGAAGGAAAAGGAAAUGAAAUGUGAAGAAACUCAUGCACCAAACUCGAACUGGGUAUAUGUGAUGUUACCUAGUAAGAAGACUGUUAGAAUGCCCUCGGUAACACAGAGGCUGAGAGAUCCUGACAUAAAUCCUUGUUUGUCGAUCCUGUUCUACCUUUUAAAUGAUGCCUCUCUUAUAUCUGUAAGGAAUCUGAUGCUUCCACCAGAUGUCUGGAUGAAAAUAACUAUGACAGGGAAAGGUGUUCCACUUACUUCUUGAGGUACAAAAACUGCCGGAGAUUCUGGCCGUGAAAGAUCCUUGAGAGCUCUUGUUAGCUGCCUCGUCGUCCUCUAAGCUAUAAGAAUGCAGUUUUAAUAUAGAAUUCUAUCGUGAUGCAGAGAAGAAAGAACGGAGUGAAGCCAUUUAUGCCUACGGCAGCAGAAAGAGAUGAAAUCUUGAGAGCAGUGGGAAAUAUGCCCUAUUGAAUGUUUGCAUUAAAAGUGUUUAUAUAACUUAGAAGCAGAUGAAUAUUUCUAAUAAAUGAUUGCUGUAAUAUUUAAGACUGUACACCCCUCACCCAGACAGACCUUAAGUUCUUCAAGUGGAGACAGUGAAGUCACCCCGUGUCCUUUUUGCUUGCUCUCAGUGCCAUGCCGAUGGUAUGUUGCUGUUGGCUGUGUUGUGGCAUGAGUUUGCAUGACUUUCUGGAGGCAUGGAGUUAGGUAAGGCUACAUGAGAAAUUGAGCUUUUCCACUGGGUUUUGAAAGAAGAGUAUGAUGUGAACAAGUAAAGACUGAAUGGGGCUGAGAUGAAGGCAAUGUUUCCAAGGAAAGGAAAUGUUAUGAGCAAGAGUGUGAGGCAAGAGAAGCUGGAACCACAUUCAGAGAGUAUCCUGUAGAUUGCUCCACCUAGAAUCUCAGGUGGGUGGAGCAGUGGUGGGAGAAGACUGGAAAGGUAAGUUGAAGGUAAGGAAUGUGUGGUGGGCCUCAGAUCCCAGGCUCAUUCCUCAAAUCACUUCUUACUUCCCUCACUUAUCUUUGUUUAAAUAAGGUUAGUACAUUCACUAGGGGCAAAUGGGUUUUUCUAAAUAAAUGACAUAAAAAAGAACUGGUUGUCUUUCUUUAAAGAAAGUCUUAGUUACAGGAUUCUGUGAUUAAAAUCCUUAAAUAUUGGGUUGCCUUCUGCAGCUGUAGUAUCAGUUUUUGAACCACAGUAAUGGGAAGAAAGACAAAUGGAUUCCCUUAGAAGUAAGAUUUCUAUUUGCAGGAUGAGUUGGGCAGGGAAAAGGGUCAGGGUUCAUCAGGUGAACUCAACACUGGGAUGAGACUAGAACUUCACUUUAUGAUAUAAACACAAUACGAUUAUUCAAUGUGGUGACUGGGGUAGACUGUGAAGCAGCCCUCCUUAUGCCCACUGCCUUUUAGAAUCGUUUGUUUUAUUCAUGGUAGUUUUAUGAAGACAUACUAUUAUUGAAUGAAAUUUAAUGUGUACUUGAAAACAUUGCUUUUGUCCCUUCUCUUCAUCUGGUCUUGGGUCAAGAACAUUGUUUUAAUGGCUGCCGACAAUGAACUGUCUGUCUGAGUCUAAAACCAAGCUCAGGUUUCUAAGCCACAUGACCUUGAUUGUUAAAUGUAGUUAUAUUUGAAUAAAAAAUGAAUCAUUUCCAAAAUUCUUUUGAUUUGUAUUGACUGCUAUAAAAAUGAUGGAUUAAAAUAGGACCAGAAAAGAAUGAAUGCCUACCUGUGUAAGAAGUAUUUUUGUAUUUUUAAGCACACUUGUUAAAGGGCUUGGAAUUUUAAUGUCACUCCUUUGAAGGUACAUACCAAUAUCAACAUUCAUCUUGUAACUAGUUGUCCUGA